rnacentral:rRNA from 1 species
GAUGAACGCUGGCGGCGUGCCUAAUACAUGCAAGUCGAGCGAACAGAUGAGGAGCUUGCUCCUCUGACGUUAGCGGCGGACGGGUGAGUAACACGUGGAUAACCUACCUAUAAGACUGGGAUAACUUCGGGAAACCGGAGCUAAUACCGGAUAAUAUAUUGAACCGCAUGGUUCAAUAGUGAAAGACGGUUUUGCUGUCACUUAUAGAUGGAUCCGCGCCGCAUUAGCUAGUUGGUAAGGUAACGGCUUACCAAGGCAACGAUGCGUAGCCGACCUGAGAGGGGAAUGGGCAAAACGGGAACGGAGAAACGGUACAAAACCCCAGGGGGGGCAGCAGGAGGGAAUUUUCCGGAAUGGGGGAAAGCCUGAGGGAGCAACGCCGGGGGGGGGAAGAAGGUUUUGGGAUCGAAAAACGUUGUUAUUAGGGAAAAAAAAAGGGGAAAGUAACUAUGCAGGUCUUGACGGUACCAAAUCAAAAAGCCACGGAAAAAUAAGG